AACGAACGCUGGCGGCAUGCCUAACACAUGCAAGUCGAACGAGACCUUCGGGUCUAGUGGCGCACGGGUGCGUAACGCGUGGGAACCUGCCCUUAGGUUCGGAAUAACUCCCCGAAAGGGGUGAUAAUACCGGAUAAUGUCUUCGGACCAAAGAUUUAUCGCCUUUGGAUGGGCCCGUGUUGGAUUAGCUAGUUGGUAGGGUAAAAGCCUACCAAGGCGACGAUCCAUAGCUGGUCUGAGAGGAUGAUCAGCCACACUGGGACUGAGACACGGCCCAGACUCCUACGGGAGGCAGCAGUGGGGAAUAUUGGACAAUGGGCGAAAGCCUGAUCCAGCAAUGCCGCGUGAGUGAUGAAGGCCUUAGGGUUGUAAAGCUCUUUUACCCGGGAUGAUAAUGACAGUACCGGGAGAAUAAGCUCCGGCUAACUCCGUG
rnacentral:rRNA from 1 species